GCGCGAGUGCCGUAACUGGUAGCCGGGUACGCUUGAGGGGCGUAUGUUCGUAAGAACGUGGAGGUUCGAGUCCUCUCUCGCGCA
rnacentral:tRNA from 1 species